rnacentral:rRNA from 1 species
AUGCCUUACACAUGCAAGUCGAACGGCAGCACGGGUGCUUGCACCUGGUGGCGAGUGGCGAACGGGUGAGUAAUACAUCGGAACAUGUCCUGUAGUGGGGGAUAGCCCGGCGAAAGCCGGAUUAAUACCGCAUACGAUCUACGGAUGAAAGCGGGGGACCUUCGGGCCUCGCGCUAUAGGGUUGGCCGAUGGCUGAUUAGCUAGUUGGUGGGGUAAAGGCCUACCAAGGCGACGAUCAGUAGCUGGUCUGAGAGGACGACCAGCCACACUGGGACUGAGACACGGCCCAGACUCCUACGGGAGGCAGCAGUGGGGAAUUUUGGACAAUGGGCGAAAGCCUGAUCCAGCAAUGCCGCGUGUGUGAAGAAGGCCUUCGGGUUGUAAAGCACUUUUGUCCGGAAAGAAAUCCUUGGCUCUAAUACAGUCGGGGGAUGACGGUACCGGAAGAAUAAGCACCGGCUAACUACGUGCCAGCAGCCGCGGUAAUACGUAGGGUGCGAGCGUUAAUCGGAAUUACUGGGCGUAAAGCGUGCGCAGGCGGUUUGCUAAGACCGAUGUGAAAUCCCCGGGCUCAACCUGGGAACUGCAUUGGUGACUGGCAGGCUAGAGUAUGGCAGAGGGGGGUAGAAUUCCACGUGUAGCAGUGAAAUGCGUAGAGAUGUGGAGGAAUACCGAUGGCGAAGGCAGCCCCCUGGGCCAAUACUGACGCUCAUGCACCAAAGCGUGGGGAGCAAACAGG